rnacentral:hammerhead_ribozyme from 1 species
AUCCUUCUGACGAGUCCCAAAUAUGACGAAACGCGCGUCGUGGAU